GAAGCCUUUUUGCAGCUUCCUUAGUAGAGUGUGUAGUUAUAGGGGCAGUCUUCCUAUUCUGUUUUGUUUUUGUUUGGUAUCACCUGUUUAUUUCUUUGAUGCUCCAAGAAUAAGUGAUGCAAGGCACUCUACUAUUUGGGAAUCAGAUCUGCACUUCCUCAAGAAACACUCGUGGUGAGAAAUGGCUGCUACCUUUUGAACUCUCAGCCUAGCAGUGGGAGUUUCCCUGCAAGGGCUGCUGGCAAAGGCUCCAACCUAGGGCGAGAAGAGAUUUCACACGGCUCUGGAUCAGGCUCCUGACUUCUAAUUGCAAGCAUGCAUGGUUUCUCUCCUUUCUUCUUCUCAUCAGAGAUGUUAAAAAGUGAAUGUGACACCUACUCCUCCACAGCUCUGGCUAUUCAAGCACCUUUCUUAUAGUGAUGAAGGGAGUACAUCAUCAGGGCAACGUGUAUGUGGAUGGUGUUGAACUUCUGCUGUCUGUUUUACUGUGAUUUAGCGUCAGCACAUACAGCACUGGAAAUUCUACUGCUUGUGGCACACAGCCCUGCCCUCUGCUUUUCCUUUCUCCAGUAAGGGCUUGCUGCUCCUCCUGCUGUUCAGCCAUCACCCGUUGAAUUCUAAGCCAAGCAACCUCAAAGGGUUAAUUGUCUUACUUCACUAUUCAAAAUAUACCAUGGCUGUUAAGCACGUAACUCAUGGGUUCUACCAACUCUUCUGCAAAAAUACAAGCAGGUAAACCACCAGAAAGCAGCUUUGUACCACUGAAAAGAAGCUUCACCCAGACCCUCCUGCUGCCUCUGACCCUUCAGUGCCAGUGGAGCCAGCUCCAUGUCCUCCAUCGUCCACAGCCCGCCCACCACCACCUCCUCCAGGGAUUUCUCUGCAGGUUAUUUGAGGAUACGGACACUCGAGUGGAAAUAUGAUGAUGAAGCACCUGUGUUUUGACUAUAUACUCUCUUUUCCUGCUGUUUUUAAUGUUCUCUACAUUCCUGUGUGAUUACUUUUUUCUGUGUUGCCUCUCUUUCAUUGAGCUAGUGAAUGCAAAUCAUUUCUGAGAUGUUAUUAAUUUACUUCCAGCUGAUAAAAUGUCUGUGAGGCAGGAGAGAGCAUGAGUCCUAGCUUGUGUCCUUUGAGCACGAACUACUUGCAGCCAGCAAUCUUGCCCUGCAGUUCACGCUUACUCCUGUAAUAAACAGGUCAAUAGAAGAGUUGCUGAUUUACAUUUUAAAACAUGGAAAAAAAAUAAUCUCAAACUUUGAGAAAAUUGAGACAAAAGGAAGGGGGUUUUGUGGUGUUUUGUUGUGUUUUUUUUUUCCCCCAAAGCCACGUAACUGCUGAAAAGGACAAGGGACUGUUGACUCUGUGCUGCAGAAUAUACUGAAUCGCUCUUGCAAAACCCAGCCACUGUGUGGUAUCCUUAACAGGCCAGUCUAGAUUCUUGAUGCAGAACUUGCCAAAAUUUCCUCUUAUUUAU
ensembl:lncRNA